rnacentral:tRNA from 1 species
GCUGAUGUAGCACAGUCGGUAGUGCACCGCAUUGGUAGUGCGGGGGUCUCCAGUUCGAUUCUGGACAUCAGCA